UUAAAUUGAAGAGUUUGAUCAUGGCUCAGAUUGAACGCUGGCGGCAGGCUUAACACAUGCAAGUCGAACGGUAACAUGAGUGCUUGCACUUGAUGACGAGUGGCGGACGGGUGAGUAAAGUAUGGGGAUCUGCCGAAUGG
rnacentral:rRNA from 1 species